rnacentral:lncRNA from 1 species
GUUGUGUGCCUGGGCCCUCUGGGCAGCUCUGCGGCCAACCUCAGUGAGUCCAGGUCAGGCUGGACGUGGAUCCCGGAGCUGUUUCAGCUGCUAUCAGGAUGGGGACAGAAAGGGUCAUGCCCAAGUCCGGUGUUCGCCCCCAGGGUGGCCGAGAGCCCCUGCUGUGUUGGGAGGUGGGUGGCAUGGCAGCAGGGGCUCCCUAUUGAGCAGGACCAGGAGAAGAGUGUGGGGAGGGCCAAGUGGGCUCCAGCAAGUCUGGCUUUCCAUUUCCUGCACGCUCAAGUCCAAGCUCCCUAUUUUUUAUUUUUUAUUUUUUACUUAUUUAUUUGUUUUAAGUCCAAGCUCCUGAGCAUGACACGCAACACUCCCGGCCGGCAGGGAAGUGAGGGCUCAGUAGACUUUCCCCACCGAGUCCAGUGUACCCACAUCCCCUGCUUCACGACCCGCAUUAGCCCAGGAGGCCCCCAGAUGUGAGAGAAAGGCACCUAAGUGGUCACAGCCCUGUGGGUUCUGGGGUUGGCUGGCAGAAGCAUGUUUGGGUGUAAAUUAGAAAAAGAAAACACUCCUUCUUCCUGGUCACAGCUCACACCAGAGUGCACAGCUGGAUUUCAAUGUGCCCUUGUCCGCCCAGGCCCGGAGGCCCGGCCAACCAGGCUAGAUCCCAGAUGAGGAAGCAGGCCCAGAGAGGCACAUGGCCUUGCCCAAAGUCACACAGGCCCACACCCAGGACUCAGUUUCUGACUUCAAUGUAGAGGAUGCCUCCCAAUUUACACCCCCCCCCCCCGCACCUGUCCCCGAACUCAGCUGGGCAGCCUUGAGGCUACCCUGCCCCCAUCCUGUACAGAAGCACUUUUUGAAAUUUUCCGGGUGCAUCUGGCACUGACCCCAUGUUCUGGCCUGUUCUAGUGCCCAAGGCCAUGAGAAAAGGCCUGUACAGGGCUUUUUCCCUUCCCCAGACCCACGACCUGCAGAGAUUCGGCCCCUGGGGCCUUUGCCAGGGACCUCAUGGGGAACGGCUGCCUGACUUCCUGUUUUCAUAUUCUUUCCUCCUCUGCUUGUUUUUCUACUUUGUUGUUCUUUGGUCCCUUUUGGUUCUCCUCCCCUAGCCCACCCUGCAAAACCAAACUUCAUUUUAUUGUGAUUAUUUUAAAUCCAUGUUUAGACAGGAAGACUUCACCCCUUCUUGUUUCCAUUUGAGGAACUGGAGCGGGGCCUGGCCCCCCCCACCCUGCCCGCUUUCUCUCCCUCCUCGUUCCCUGUGGUUUAUUUCCCAAAGGAGCGUCUUCAGGUCCCACAGCAAAGAAGAAACAGCCUCAGAAGCUGUGCCUGCGAGGACUGUGUGAAUUCAGGAUUCCGGCUGUACUAGAAAUUUCUCUUUUGCUGUCAUUGUGGGCAGAAGGGAAGGGAUCUGCUAGCUAUCCACCCCCCCCCAUGUUGUUAUUAGCUCCCUAAAACAGAAGAUACAGUCUCUGCUUAGAGACUCCCCACUUAGAGGCUCCCCACUUCCUCCAAGGUCAAGUCUGAAUUCGUUAGACCACAUCCAAGACCCUUCAA